rnacentral:rRNA from 1 species
AAGGAUUCCCCUAGUAACGGCGAGUGAAGAGGGAAAAGCCCAAGAUUGAAAGCUGGCGUCUUCGGCGUCCGCAUUGUAAUCUCAAGAAGCAUUUUCCGCUUCGGACCAAGCCUAAGUCCCUUGGAAAAGGGCAUCGUAGAGGGUGAGAAUCCCGUACAUGGCUUGGAGCGCCCGAGGCUUUGUGAUAUGCAUUCUAAGAGUCGAGUUGUUUGGGAAUGCAGCUCAAAAUGGGUGGUAAAUGCCAUCUAAGGCUAAAUAUUGGGGAGAGACCGAUAGCGAACAAGUACCGUGAGGGAAAGAUGAAAAGAACUUUGAAAAGAGAGUUAAACAGUACGUGAAAUUGCCAAAAGGGAAGGGUAGGAGGUCAGAGAUGCGGCGUGGGAUUCAGCCUUGCUUUUGCUUGGUGUUUUUCCCUCAUUGCAGGCCAACGUCGGUUUUGGGCACUGGAGAAGGGUGAGAGGAAUGUGGCACUCUUCGGGGUGUGUUAUAGCCUCUCACUGGAUACAGCGACCGGGACCGAGGAACGCAGCGUACUCGAAAGAGCGGGCCUUCGGGCACCUUUACGCUUAGGGCGUUGGCAUAAUGGCCCUCUACCAC